GGAAUAGUCCCGGGAAACUGGGUUUAAUACCGUAUACGCCCUUCGGGGGAAAGAAUUUCGGUGAGGGAUCGGCCCGCGUUAGAUUAGUUAGUUGGUGGGGUAAUGGCCUACCAAGACUACGAUCUAUAGCUGGUUUGAGAGGAUGAUCAGCAACACUGGGACUGAGACACGGCCCAGACUCCUACGGGAGGCAGCAGUGGGGAAUCUUAGACAAUGGGGGCAACCCUGAUCUAGCGAUGCCGCGUGAGUGAUGAAGGCCUUAGGGUCGUAAAGCUCUUUCGCCUGUGAUGAUAAUGACAGUAGCAGGUAAAGAAACCCCGGCUAACUCCGUGCCAGCAGCCGCGGUAAUACGGAGGGGGUUAGCGUUGUUCGGAAUUACUGGGCGUAAAGCGCACGUAGGCGGAUUAGUCAGUCAGAGGUGAAAUCCCAGGGCUCAACCCUGGAACUGCCUUUGAUACUGCUAGUCUUGAGUUCGAGAGAGGUAAGUGGAAUUCCGAGUGUAGAGGUGAAAUUCGUAGAUAUUCGGAGGAACACCAGUGGCGAAGGCGGCUUACUGGCUCGAUACUGACGCUGAGGUGCGAAAGUGUGGGGAGCAAACAGGAUUAGAUACCCUGGUAGUCCACACCGUAAACGAUGAAUGCCAGUCGUCGGGUAGCAUGCUAUUCGGUGACACACCUAACGGAUUAAGCAUUCCGCCUGGGGAGUACGGUCGCAAGA
rnacentral:rRNA from 1 species